UUACCAGCCGCCAGGCCGCGGGUGACGCACUACGCCUGCGCCGCCGCCCCGCCCCGCCCCGUGACGUCACGACGCCAGCGCCGCCGCCGUCGCCGAGGUCGCCGGCGUCUUUUCCUAAUAGCCUGGGUGAUAGCUGAUGUUCACACAGACUGUCUUCAGUCAUGGCCUUGGGUUUAAGGUGCUUCCGCUUGGUCCAUCCUGCCUUUUGCAAUUCUCUUGCAGCCUGGACCAGACCUGUUUCGGAAGUUGUGCUGAAGACAGUGAAUGGAAGACAAACUGACCACGGGCAGUACGUGGCCUAUGCAGCUAUACCAACCCGUCAUUUUGCUACCAAGAAAGCCAAAGCCAAAGGAAAAGGACAGUCCCAAACCAGAGUGAAUCUUAACACUGCCUUGGUGGAGGAUAUAAUCAGCUUGGAAGAGGUGGAAGAAGAAAUGAAGUCUGUGAUGGAAGCACUCAAGGAUAAUUUCAAUAAGACUGUCAAUAUAAGGACCUCACCAGGAUCCCUUGAUCAUAUCACUGUGGUAACUGCUGAUGGGAAGCUUGCUUUAAACCAGAUUGGUGAGAUCUCCAUGAAGUCGCCACAGCUGAUCUUGGUGAAUAUGGCCAGCUUCCCAGAGGAAGUUAGAGUAUAUCUUCAUUUUUCAACCAAAGCAUCUCUGCCUUCCAAGUUGAAAUUCUGUGGGUUUUAAAGGAGAAAAAAAACCCACAAAAAACUUUUACAAGCAUCUCAGUCAAGAGGUUCGUUACAAGGACAGAAUGAGGAAGUAUGAGAAAACUGAGGCUCCGAGAAGUACAAUAUCUCCCUGAGGUUCACACCGUUGUGACAGAACCAAGAUUUGAACAUAGAUCUGUUUGACACUAAAGCCUGUGCUCCUUUAACCAUUCAUUCAUUAAUUCAACAAAUACUUUUUGAGUUCCUGUAAGAUAUUAAGUUUUAGUUGAGGUGCUGGAAUUAAUUCCUUGAUGAUAAAAACAGACAAGGUUCCUGCUUUCAUAGACCUUACAUUCUAAGGACUCUUUGGGAUAUAAAGGAAAUGGAAGGCCAGUCACUGAAAUGGCACUAACAAAGUUGACUUGAACCCAAAGGGUUAAGGACUUGACCUGUCCAAAAAAGUUUUAUCAUCUCUUGUCCUUUAGCAUAGAUGAACUUAAGAAUGGCAAUAGCAGUCUUUGCUAAUUGAUGACAGCACUCCUUCCUGCCUGGGCCCAGAUGGGAUCUGUGAUCUCUCUCUCCAGAGUUCUCUAAGCAGCCACAAUCAUUUGGUCAGUGUUGCCAUUUGAGAACUUUCUGUUUGCCUUGGGGUACUGGUGAGCAUCCCUCCAGUGAGGGGACAAAGGCUAAGAUAAAAGAUGGAAAUGCGAUAGAAAUAUAUUCCUUUUCAUCUGAGCCCUGAGUAGUUCAGAAGUCAUGUUGGGAAAAUGACUGUAAUUCCCUGAGUUUCUGCAUCCUACCACAUCAAACCAAAAUAUACAUAUUUAGAAUGUUUUAGAACUACCUCUUCUAGUAGGUUUCUUUUCAAAAUGAAAUCUGAUUUGCAUUUUUUCUGCAUAUGAAAGGACACAGAACAAGUAAAGUACAAAAUAAGGAUUUGGGGGGGUUAUAUAUAAGAAGUAAAAGUAAGGAGAUGAGUUUGUCUAAUAGAUCUGAGUCAGUUUAUUAAUAUAGUCAUGCAACAAGCUUUUACUGAGCACUUGCCAUGUGCCUGGCACUGAGCCUUGUACUGGGAAGAUGUAGCUAUUGAGACAUAAUGACUGUCCAUCUGGGUAUCAGCUGUAGGUGCUCUGGUGUCCACUGGGGAAGGUUGUGUGGAAACACUGGGGUCCUACUGUGAAAGGGAGGGGCUGGUGGUAGGAUGUUACCACAGUGAUUUGUCAGUCAUUCAGUGAGAAGCAUCAGAAAAGGAGGAUUGGGAGACUUGAGAUCAGGCUACUUCUUCAAAGUGGAGAUUCUCCCUUUAUUGUUAACUGUAGAAAAUCUGUGUCAUUUUAUUACAGAGAAACAGUGAUCAGACUACCAAUCCCCAGAGGGAAAGUAGGGGAGGGUGGGGGU